rnacentral:rRNA from 1 species
AACGAACGCUGGCGGCAUGCCUAACACAUGCAAGUCGAACGAGACCUUCGGGUCUAGUGGCGCACGGGUGCGUAACGCGUGGGAACCUGCCCUUAGGUUCGGAAUAACUCCCCGAAAGGGGUGCUAAUACCGGAUAAUUUCUUCGGACCAAAGAUUUAUCGCCUUUGGAUGGGCCCGCGUUGGAUUAGCUAGUUGGUAGGGUAAAAGCCUACCAAGGCGACGAUCCAUAGCUGGUCUGAGAGGAUGAUCAGCCACACUGGGACUGAGACGCGGCCCAGACUCCUACGGGAGGCAGCAGUGGGGAAUAUUGGACAAUGGGCGAAAGCCUGAUCCAGCAAUGCCGCGUGAGUGAUGAAGGCCUUAGGGUUGUAAAGCUCGUUUACCCGGGAUGAUAAUGACAGUACCGGGAGAAUAAGCUCCGGCUAACUCCGUG